UGGAGCAUGUGGUUAAUUCGAAGAUACACGAAGAACCUUACCUGGCCUUGACAUGGUAGGAACCCUUAAGAGAUUAGGGGUGCUAGCUUGCUAGAACCUACACACAGGUGCUGCACGGCUGUCGUCAGCUCGUGUCGUGAGAUGUUGGGUUAAGUCCCGCAACGAGCGCAACCCUCGUCCUUAGUUGCUAACAGUUCGGCUGAGCACUCUAGGGAGACUGCCUUCGCAAGGAGGAGGAAGGUGAGGACGACGUCAAGUCAUCAUGGCCCUUACGGCCAGGGCUACACACGUGCUACAAUGGGUGGUACAAAGAGAAGCCAACUCGCGAGAGCGCGCCAAUCUCAAAAAGCCAUCCUCAGUUCGGAUUGGAGUCUGCAACUCGACUCCAUGAAGUUGGAAUCGCUAGUAAUCGCGGAUCAGCAUGCCGCGGUGAAUACGUUCCCGGGCCUU
rnacentral:rRNA from 1 species